rnacentral:rRNA from 1 species
AUGCACGCUCCUCGCGACACUCAAUGGAACAUGGUGAAGCGGAUUCUUCGGUACAUCCGCGGCACCACGGCUGUGGGUCGUACGUUGACGGCUUCGCCCUCGACCGACCUUGUUGCCUACAGUGACGCCGAUUGGGCUGGCUGUCCGGACACCCGUCGCUCCACUUCUGGCUACUGCGUCUACUUGGGUCCCUCGCUUAUAUCGUGGUCGUCUAAACGACAACCCACGGUAUCCCGCUCCAGCGCCGAGUGCUCGUGGCUUCGGCAGCUUCUCCAGGAGUUGCUCCUUGACGUCCCAAAGGCCACCAUUGUCUACCGUGACAAUGUCUCUGUAGUCUACCUCUCCGCCAACCCCGUUCAUCAUCGUUGCACGAAGCAUAUUGUGCUCGACAUUCACUUCGUGCGAGAGCAGGUGGCUCUUCGGCGCAUCCGCGUUCUUCACGUUCCCACAGCUCAGCAGUUUGCCGAUGUUAUGACCAAGGGGUUACUGACGCCUACCUUUGAGGAGUUUCGGUCCAGUCUAUGCGUCACUGGUGACGUAUUGACUGCGGGGGGUGUUGAACAUAUCAUGUGCAUGUAUCUGUUAGGAUAA